rnacentral:rRNA from 1 species
AGCCCCUUGCUCCGGGACAACCUUGGGAAACCGAGGCUAAUACCGGAUACUCCUCGCCCCCCUCCUGGGGGGCCCGGGAAAGCCCAGACGGCAAGGGAUGGGGGUCGCGGCCCAUUAGGUAGUAGGCGGGGUAACGGCCCACCUAGCCCGCGAUGGGUAGCCGGGUUGAGAGACCGACCGGCCACAUUGGGACUGAGAUACGGCCCAGACUCCUACGGGAGGCAGCAGUGGGGAAUUUUGCGCAAUGGGGGAAACCCUGACGCAGCAACGCCGCGUGCGGGACGACGGCCUUCGGGUUGUAAACCGCUUUCAGCAGGGAAGAAAUUCGACGGUACCUGCAGAAGAAGCUCCGGCUAACUACGUGCCAGCAGCCGCGGUAAUACGUAGGGAGCGAGCGUUAUCCGGAUUCAUUGGGCGUAAAGAGCGCGUAGGCGGCCUCUCAAGCGGGAUCUCUAAUCCGAGGGCUCAACCCCCGGCCGGAUCCCGAACUGGGAGGCUCGAGUUCGGUAGAGGCAGGCGGAAUUCCCGGUGUAGCGGUGGAAUGCGCAGAUAUCGGGAAGAACACCGAUGGCGAAGGCAGCCUGCUGGGCCGCAACUGACGCUGAGGCGCGAAAGCUAGGGGAGCGAACAGGAUUAGAUACCCUGGUAGUCCUAGCCGUAAA